GACGAACGCUGGCGGCGUGCUUAACACAUGCAAGUCGAACGGAAAGGCCCUGCUUUUGUGGGGUGCUCGAGUGGCGAACGGGUGAGCAACACGUGAGUAACCUGCCCUUGACUUUGGGAUAACUUCAGGAAACUGGGGCUAAUACCGGAUAGGAGCUCCUGCUGCAUGGUGGGGGUUGGAAAGUUUCGGCGGUUGGGGAUGGACUCGCGGCUUAUCAGCUUGUUGGUGGGGUAGUGGCUUACCAAGGCUUUGACGGGUAGCCGGCCUGAGAGGGUGACCGGCCACAUUGGGACUGCGAUACGGCCCAGACUCCUACGGGAGGCAGCAGUGGGGAAUAUUGCACAAUGGGCGGAAGCCUGAUGCAGCAACGCCGCGUGCGGGAUGACGGCCUUCGGGUUGUAAACCGCUUUCGCCUGUGACGAAGCGUGAGUGACGGUAAUGGGUAAAGAAGCACCGGCUAACUACGUG
rnacentral:rRNA from 1 species